rnacentral:rRNA from 1 species
GACGAACGCUGGCGGCGUGCUUAACACAUGCAAGUCGAGCGGUAAGGCCCUUUCGGGGGUACACGAGCGGCGAACGGGUGAGUAACACGUGGGUGACCUGCCCUCAGCUCUGGGAUAAGCCUGGGAAACCGGGUCUAAUACUGGAUAUGACUCCAUGACGCAUGUUGUGGGGUGGAAAGCCUUGUGCGGCUGAGGAUGGGCCCGCGGCCUAUCAGCUUGUUGGUGGGGUGAUGGCCUACCAGGCGACGACGGGUAGCCGGCCUGAGAGGGCGACCGGCCACACUGGGACUGAGACACGGCCCAGACUCCUACGGGAGGCAGCAGUGGGGAAUCUUGCGCAAUGGGCGAAAGCCUGACGCAGCGACGCCGCGUGAGGGAUGACGGCCUCGGUUGUAAC